rnacentral:rRNA from 1 species
CAUCACUACGCUAGAUGCAUAUCAAUAAGCGGAGGAAAAGAAACUAACAAGGAUUCCCCUAGUAACGGCGAGUGAAGCGGGAAGAGCUCAAAUUUGAAAUCUUCAAGGUUUGACCUUGACGAAUUGUAGUUUAAAGAAGUGUUUUCGGUUAGAGGAGUAGUAAAAGUUCUUUGGAAUAGGACAUCAUAGAGGGUGAGAAUCCCGUAUUUGACUAUUCUUUCUAGCUUUGUGAUACACUUUCAAAGAGUCGGAUUGUUUGGGAAUGCAGUCCAAAAUGGGUGGUAAAUUUCAUCUAAAGCUAAAUAUUGGCGAGAGACCGAUAGCGAACAAGUACCGUGAGGGAAAGAUGAAAAGAACUUUGAAAAGAGAGUUAAACAGUACGUGAAAUUGUCAAAAGGGAAGCGUUUGACACCAGUGUUGUUUUUCCGAAAAUCAAUUAAGAAUGUUGAUUUUGUAGAAUUGUAUUGACCUUACAGGCUUUCUGCCUCUUUUCCUGAACUUUUUUAAUGCACUUUUCGGUUAACAAGUCAACAUCAAUUUCUUUUGUUGUAAAAGGGUAUGAGGAAGGUGGCUUUCUCUUCGGCGCAAGUGUUUAUAGCCUUGUAUCUCUGCAAUCGGAGAGAUUGAGGUCUGCAGCGUAGAUCCUUCGGGGUUAGAUACAUUUGUGCUAAGCUAUAGCCUUGUAUAGACAACUUGUUGACUAUGCUCAGUCAUGUAGCUUACUCGCUUAUGCUAUUUUACCUACGCUUAGGAUGUUGAUAGUCACAGCGUGUAC